GAUGAAUGCUGGCGGCGUGCCUAACACAUGCAAGUCGAGCGGCAGCGAGGGGUGCUUGCACCCUGUCGGCGAGCGGCGAACGGCUGAGUAACGCGUAGGAAUUUGCCCCAAAGUGAGGAAUAACUGCCCGAAAGGGUAGCUAAUGCCGCAUAUGGUCUUCGGAUUAAAGGAUUUAUCCGCUUUGGGAGAAGCCUGCGUUGGAUUAGGUUGUUGGUAGGGUAAUGGCAUACCAAGCCGACGAUCCAUAGCUGGUCUGAGAGGAUGAUCAGCCAGACUGGAACUGAGACACGGUCCAGACUCCUACGGAAGGCAGCAGUGAGGAAUCUUCCACAAGGGGCGAAAGCCUGAUGGAGCAACGCGGCGUGAAGGAUGAAGGCCGUCGUGUUGUAAACUUCUUCUAUGAGUGAAGAAUAUGACGGUAACUCGUGAAUAAGCACCGGCUAACUACGUG
rnacentral:rRNA from 1 species